GUCCACGCCCUAAACGAUGAUGACUAGUUGUUGGAGGAGUUAAAUCCUUUAGUAACGCAGCUAACGCGCGAAGUCAUCCGCCUGGGGAGUACGGUCGCAAGAUUAAAACUCAAAGGAAUUGACGGGGCCCGCACAAGCGGUGGAUGAUGUGGUUUAAUUCGAUGCAACGCGAAAAACCUUACCUACCCUUGACAUGUGCGGAACCCUGCAGAGAUGCAGGGGUGCCCGAAAGGGAGCCGCAACACAGGUGCUGCAUGGCUGUCGU
rnacentral:rRNA from 1 species